rnacentral:tRNA from 1 species
GCGGGUCAACAAGCGCAAGGGGCGCGCAGCAGCCUUCCAAGCUGACGACCGCGGAGUUCGACUCUCCUGAUCCGCUCCA